UAUCGGUCCCCUCGCAUCGGCGAUCCGUAAACCCCGCCAGGCCUGGAAGGGAGCAACGGUAGCGGACUCUUCGAGUGCCGGGGUGUGGCUGGUGCGG
rnacentral:SRP_RNA from 1 species